rnacentral:rRNA from 1 species
UCUAGCCAUGGGCAGGUUGAAGGUUGGGUAACACUAACUGGAGGACCGAACCGACUAAUGUUGAAAAAUUAGCGGAUGACUUGUGGCUGGGGGUGAAAGGCCAAUCAAACCGGGAGAUAGCUGGUUCUCCCCGAAAGCUAUUUAGGUAGCGCCUCGUGAACUCAUCUUCGGGGGUAGAGCACUGUUUCGGCUAGGGGGUCAUCCCGACUUACCAACCCGAUGCAAACUACGAAUACCGAAGAAUGUUAUCACGGGAGACACACGGCGGGUGCUAACGUCCGUCGUGAAGAGGGAAACAACCCAGACCGCCAGCUAAGGUCCCAAAGUCAUGGUUAAGUGGGAAACGAUGUGGGAAGGCACAGACAGCCAGGAUGUUGGCUUAGAAGCAGCCAUCAUUUAAAGAAAGCGUAAUAGCUCACUGGUCGAGUCGGCCUGCGCGGAAGAUGUAACGGGGCUAAACCAUGCACCGAAGCUGCGGCAGCGACACUAUGUGUUGUUGGGUAGGGGAGCGUUCUGUAAGCCUGCGAAGGUGUGCUGUGAGGC